AUGAGGGAGUGGUGGGUCCAGGUGGGGCUGUUAGCUGUGCCCCUGCUUGCGGCCUAUCUGCACAUCCCACCCCCCCACAGCUUUCCCCUGCUCUUCACUCAUGGAAGUCAUCAGGCAAAUUUUUUACCUACAAGGGACUGUGUAUCUUCUACCAAGUCUCUGUGGGUGUGGUUGGAAGUCCAGAGAUAGUUGUGCUUUUACACGGCUUUCCAACGUCCAGCUAUGACUGGUACAAGAUUUGGGAAGGUGUGACCCUCAGGUUUCAUUGAGUGAUUGCCCUUGAUUUCCUAGGCUUUGGCUUCAGUGACAAACUGAGAUCACAUCACUAUUCCAUAUUCGAGCAGGUCAGCAUCAUGGAGGCUCUUUUGCAGCAUCUGGGGCUCCAGAACCGUAGGAUCAACCUGUUGUCUCACGACUAUGGGGAUAUCGUUGCUCAGGAGCUGCUCUAUAGGUUCAAGCAGAAUCGAUCUGGUCGGCUUACCAUCAAGAGUCUCUGUCUGUCGAAUGGAGGUAUAUUUCCUGAGACUCACCGUCCUCUCCUUCUCCAAAAGCUUCUCAAAGCUGGAGGCAUGCUGUCACCCAUCCUCACACGACUGAUGAACUUCUUGGUAUUCUCUCGAGGUCUCACCCCGGUCUUUGGGCCAUACACCGGACCCUCUGAGAGUGAACUGUAGGACAUGUGGGCAGGGAUACGCAAAAAUGACGGGAACUUGGUUAUCGACAGUCUCUUGCAGUACAUCAAUCAAAGGAAGAAGUUUAGAAGACGCUGGGUGGGAGCUCUUGCCUCUGUAUCUAUAUCCAUUCAUUUUAUCUAUGGGCCACUGGAUCCACUGAAUCCCUAUCCAGAGUUUUUGGAGCUGUACAGCAAAAUGCUGCCACGGUCCACAGUGUCGAUUCUGGAUGACCACAUUAGCCACUAUCACAGCUAAAGGAUUCCAUGGGCUUCUUGAAUGCAUAUAUGGGCUUCAUCAACUCUUUCUGAGCUGGAAAGAGUAGCUUCCCUGAAUUACCUCCCCUAUUCCCUCAUCUGUUGUGUAUUCCACUUAGCAAGAAACGCCCAAAAGAGGUCCUGGCCACCAAACACUAUUCUCUCACAAAAGUCCGCCUGACUCACACUGGUGAACAGCCUAUAGUAAAAAGCCAGCAGAAGCUCUAAGGGUGACCUAAUAGUCCACUUCCCAUUGCUUUGACAUCUGAUCAAGUGUAUGAACUUGCCUUUGUCUUUGUAUUAUUAGGAAAUUCUGAUGGGCACUACUACUCACUGAUGCAGAAAGACAGACAGACAUUCUUUUGCAUAAAAGUCUUUGAAACAGUUCUAUGGACUUUUCUGAAAUAUUUAGAAAUGCUAAUUUCUGGCCCUGAUUGGAAUUAUCUAAAGGUGCCACCUUCACCUCACCUUGAAUGGCUUUAAUUCUCUAAGUGACACAGCUUCAAGUGAGAAUGAGUCUCCCUUGUCAUAACUUUGGAUUUAGUUUCAUUAGUUGCUUCUAACUGUAGUCAUUUUGUUAGACUUUGGUUUCAAUAAUGCAGUAUUCUAAGUAUACUUUAAGACUAUGAUUAAUCUACAUGUAUUAUGUAUGUAUUUUAUAAGGACACUAAACCAGCAGACACUUACUCUAGCAGAGUAGUUUAACCUUAUUAAAUAUGUUUCAUUUCUGAGCAAAUUGAACUAAACCCAAGCUAUUUACAGAAUUUCCUAAAAUCACAGAACAUUAAGGACAGUAGUCUCUGUGCCAGAGAUUUACUGUUAUUUGCUGUU